rnacentral:rRNA from 1 species
GUGGGGAAUAUUGGACAAUGGGCGCAAGCCUGAUCCAGCAAUGCCGCGUGCAGGAAGAAGGCCUUCGGGUUGUAAACUGCUUUUGUACGGAACGAAACGGUCCUGGCUAAUAUCCGGGGCUAAUGACGGUACCGUAAGAAUAAGCACCGGCUAACUACGUGCCAGCAGCCGCGGUAAUACGUAGGGUGCGAGCGUUAAUCGGAAUUACUGGGCGUAAAGCGUGCGCAGGCGGUGCUGUAAGACAGGCGUGAAAUCCCCGGGCUCAACCUGGGAAUUGCGCUUGUGACUGCAGUGCUGGAGUGCGGCAGAGGGGGAUGGAAUUCCGCGUGUAGCAGUGAAAUGCGUAGAUAUGCGGAGGAACACCGAUGGCGAAGGCAAUCCCCUGGGCCUGCACUGACGCUCAUGCACGAAAGCGUGGGGAGCAAACAGGAUUAGAUACACCGGUAGUCC